AAAGGACGCUGCCACAUCCUGUCUAAACUUAUGUGAGAGGCUGUUCAUGAGGGAACUGCAGUGGAGCUCAGGGGUAUGGCAGGUCUCUGUUGAGUCAUCAGGUAGGUCUCAUGAAAGGAGUGGGAGCUUGCCCAGGUGGAAGGUGCAUCUGCACGGCCAGAGGACGACCAAAAUCCCUCCUUGUGCCAAAGCUUGAGACUGGAACUGUUGAUCAUCUAGAGUGUAGAUCAUCUGGAGAGUUGGACGCUGCGCAUCUGUAGUCCUUACUGGAAAAAGUGUUGAAGGCUUUCUUGGUGUUUUAGCAUUACCU